GAUGAAGAACGCAGCGAAAUGCGAUACUUGGUGUGAAUUGCAGAAUCCCGUGAACCAUCGAGUCUUUGAACGCAAGUUGCGCCUCAAGCCAUUAGGUUGAUGGCACGUCUGCCUGGGCGUCACAUAUCGUUGCCUGAUGCCAGUUUCCUCGUGAUGGGUGACUGUGCAGGGCGAAUGAUGGCUUCCCGUGAGCAUUGUUGCCUCAUGGUUGGUUGAAAAUUGAGUCCUUGGUAGGGAGCGCCGUGAUAGAUGGUGGUUGAGUGACGAACGAGACCCAAUCAUGUGAGACCCCUACCGAAUUUGGCCUUCAUGACCCACAUGCGUCUUUGGAACGCUCAUGACGAGACCUCAGGUCAGGCGGGGCUACCCGCUGAGUUUAAGCAUAUCAAUAAGCGGAGGA
rnacentral:misc_RNA from 1 species